rnacentral:rRNA from 1 species
UAGAGGAAGUAAAAGUCGUAACAAGGUUUCUGUAGGUGAACCUGCAGAAGGAUCAUUAAUGAGAAUAGGGGGCUGGAUUCUUCAUCCGCCCCUGACCUUUCGAUCCACACACACCUGUGCACAUACAACCAUACCCGCCUAGGCGUGGUAGUCACUUUAUUAACACGGUUAACGAGUGUAAAUACAAAUCCUCCAAAGCGGGGUGAAAGUUAAAUACAACUUUCGGCAAUGGAUCUCUUGGUUCUCCUAUCGAUGAAGAACGCAGCGAAUUGCGAUAAGUAAUGUGAAUUGCAGAAGUCAGUGAAUCAUCGAAUCUUUGAACGCAUCUUGCGCCCUUUGGUAUUCCUUAGGGCAUGCCUGUUUGAGUGUCACGAAUACUAUUUGGACCAAGCCUUUUUUCUUAAUGUUAAUCGGCGAGGCUCCAGCGUUGAGCGUCUGCCUCGCCUUUCGGCCUGGCUCGCUUUAAAUGUAUUAGCUGGGUUGGCUGGUUGCAGCCUUCACCUUUGGUAUGAUAAGUAUUAUGCCGUCGGUCGAGGGUAGCGCCGUUCUAUAGUCGCCUGCUUCUAAUCAAGGAGUGAUAUCGAACCUUGUUGUGCUUGCACGGCCUGGGGGCGAUGCUUACUCGCAUUAUAUUCAAAUCUGGCCUCAAAUCAGGUAGGACUACCCGCUGAACUUAAGCAUAUCAAUAAGCGGAGGAAAAGAAACUAACAAGGAUUCCCCUAGUAACGGCGAGUGAAGAGGGAAGAGCCCAAGUUUGAAAGCUGGCGUUUGUAUUCAGGCGUCCGCAUUGUAAACUCGAGAAGUGUUAUCCGCGCCGGACCAGGUUCAAGUCCCUUGGAAUAGGGCAUCAUAGAGGGUGAAAGUCCCGUGCUUGAUCUGGAACCCCCGGGGCUUUGUGAUGCGCUCUCAAAGAGUCGAGUUGUUUGGGAAUGCAGCUCAAAAUGGGUGGUAAAUGCCAUCUAAGGCUAAAUAUCGAGGAGAGACCGAUAGCGAACAAGUACCGUGAGGGAAAGAUGAAAAGAACUUUGGAAAGAGAGUUAAAUAGUACGUGAAAUUGCCGGAAGGGAAGGGUAGGAAGUCAGACAUGCCUUUGCAGAUUCAGCCUUGUCUUUGGACUUGGUGCAUUUUUGUAAUGGCAGGCCAGCGUCGGUUUGUGUCGCCGGAUAUAGGUUUAGGGAAUGUGGCUUUACCUUCGGGCAAAGUGUUAUAGCCUUUUACUGAGUACGGCGGUGUGGACCGAGGAACGCAGCGCACCCAUUAGGGCGGGCCUUCGGGCACCUUUGCGCUUAGGAUGCUGGCUUAAUGGCUUUCUGCCACCCGUCUUGAAACACGGACCAAGGAGUCUAACAUGCAUGCGAGUCUUUGGGUGGCAAACCCAUGGGCGAAAUGAAAGUGAAUUUUAAGGUGGGAUCCCUUGCGGGUGCACCAUCGGCCGACUUUGAACCUUUCAUGGGGACGAGUUUGAGCAAGAGCAUUCAUGUUGGGACCCGAAAGAUGGUGAACUAUGCCUGAAUAGGGCGAAGCCAGGGGAAACUCUGGUGGAGGCUCGUAGCGGUUCUGACGUGCAAAUCGAUCGUAAAAUUUGGGUAUAGGGGCGAAAGACUAAUCGAACCAUUAACAACUAGGUGGUUAAGAGGCAGUUCAAAGUACUGUCUAGUGGGUGGAGGCCUGCGACACUAUCAAAUUGCGGGGACGUCCUUAGAGCUCAAGCUACCGCAGCUCGUCGAAAGACAGAGUGCGCACCAGGGUAAUGACCUCGGGUAUGGUAAAAACGCUUGAGAUUGGAUAAUCCGCAGCCAAGCUCUAAGGGUUCUUUUGAACCUAUGAGUGCUGUUCAUCGACUAUAUGGUAGUGGGUUCCUUCUUUGAAGGGGCUUAAGAUAGAGUCAAUCCUCUCACGAAAGUGAGCCGGUGGAUGAAAGUUAGAGAUUCCUCAAUAUAAAUCUCUUUCCGGAGCCACUGGGAGCAGUAGUACGUUUGUAUU